AGCGAACGCUGGCGGCAGGCUUAACACAUGCAAGUCGAACGGGCGUAGCAAUACGUCAGUGGCAGACGGGUGAGUAACGCGUGGGAACGUACCUUUUGGUUCGGAACAACACAGGGAAACUUGUGCUAAUACCGGAUAAGCCCUUACGGGGAAAGAUUUAUCGCCGAAAGAUCGGCCCGCGUCUGAUUAGCUAGUUGGUGAGGUAACGGCUCACCAAGGCGACGAUCAGUAGCUGGUCUGAGAGGAUGAUCAGCCACAUUGGGACUGAGACACGGCCCAAACUCCUACGGGAGGCAGCAGUGGGGAAUAUUGGACAAUGGGCGCAAGCCUGAUCCAGCCAUGCCGCGUGAGUGAUGAAGGCCCUAGGGUUGUAAAGCUCUUUGUGCGGGAAGAUAAUGACGGUACCGCAAGAAUAAGCCCCGGCUAACUUCGUGCCAGCAGCCGCGGUAAGGCACGACUGU
rnacentral:rRNA from 1 species